rnacentral:rRNA from 1 species
GACAGAGGGUGCAAACGUUGUUCGGAAUUACUGGGCGUAAAGCGCGUGUAGGCUGUUCGGUAAGUCGGAUGUGAAAGCCCUGGGCUUAACCCAGGAAGUGCAUUCGAAACUCCCGAACUCGAGUCCUGGAGAGGAAGGCGGAAUUCUCGGUGUAGAGGUGAAAUUCGUAGAUAUCGAGAGGAACAUCGGUGGCGAAGGCGGCCUUCUGGACAGUGACUGACGCUGAGACGCGAAAGCGUGGGGAGCAAACAGG